rnacentral:rRNA from 1 species
UGGGGAAUAUUGGACAAUGGGCGGAAGCCUGAUCCAGCGAUGCCGCGUGUGUGAAGAAGGCCUGCGGGUUGUAAAGCACUUUCGGUGGGGAGAAAGAACUUUGUACUAAUACUAUGAAGUGAAGAUGUUACCCACAGAAGAAGCACCGGCUAACUCUGUGCCAGCAGCCGCGGUAAUACAGAGGGUGCGAGCGUUAAUCGGAAUUACUGGGCGUAAAGGGUGCGUAGGUGGUUAUAUAAGUCUGAUGUGAAAGUCCUGAGCUCAACUUGGGGAUUGCGUCAGAUACUGUUUGACUAGAGUACUGUAGAGGGAAGUGGAAUUUCCGGUGUAGCGGUGAAAUGCGUAGAUAUCGGAAGGAACAUCAGUGGCGAAGGCGAUUUUCUGGACAGUUACUGACACUGAGGCACGAAAGCAUGGGGAGCAAACAG